AUCAUUUGUCGUGGGCUGGACUGCCUUUGCGGGCGCAAGUCCCGUUGCUAUUACGACUGUGAUCCCGACGAUGUCGAUCGUC
rnacentral:sRNA from 1 species